CCUACGGGAUGCAGCAGUGAGGAAUAUUGGUCAAUGGACGCAAGUCUGAACCAGCCAUGCCGCGUGCAGGAAGACGGCUCUAUGAGUUGUAAACUGCUUUUGUACGAGGGUAAACGCAGAUACGUGUAUCUGUCUGAAAGUAUCGUACGAAUAAGGAUCGGCUAACUCCGUGCCAGCAGCCGAGGUAAUACGGAGGAUUCAAGCGUUAUCCGGAUUUAGUGGGUUUAAAGGGUGCGUAGGCGGUCGGAUAAGUUAGAGGUGAAAUCCCGAGGCUCAACUUCGGAAUUGCCUCUGAUACUGUUCGGCUAGAGAGUAGUUGCGGUAGGCGGAAUGUAUGGUGUAGCGGUGAAAUGCUUAGAGAUCAUACAGAACACCGAUUGCGAAGGCAGCUUACCAAGCUACUUCUGACGUUGAGGCACGAAAGCGUGGGGAGCAAACAGGAGUAGAUACCCGUGUAGUC
rnacentral:rRNA from 1 species